rnacentral:rRNA from 1 species
GACGUAGGCGGCCUGUCAAGCGCCUUGUGAAAUCCCUCGGCUCAACCGAGGAAUUGCCGGGCGAACUGGCAGGCUUGAGACGGGUAUAGGUGCGUGGAACUCUUGGUGGAGCGGUGAAAUGCGUAGAUAUCAAGAGGAACGCCAGAGGCGAAAGCGACGCACUGGACCCGAGCUGACGCUGAGGUGCGAAAGCUAGGGUAGCGAACAGGAUUAGAUACCCUGGUAGUCC